ACAUGCAAGUCGAGCGGGAACCACCUUCGGGUGGUGGAGAGCGGCGAACGGGUGAGUAACACGUGGGCAACCUGCCCCUAGCACUGGGAUAACCCCGGGAAACCGGGGCUAAUACCGGAUAUGACUCCGAGCGGCAUCGCUCGGUGUGGAAAGGGUUUACUGGCUAGGGAUGGGCCCGCGGCCUAUCAGCUUGUUGGUGGGGUAAAGGCCUACCAAGGCGACGACGGGUAGCCGGCCUGAGAGGGCGACCGGCCACACUGGGACUGAGACACGGCCCAGACUCCUACGGGAGGCAGCAGUGGGGAAUAUUGCGCAAUGGGCGAAAGCCUGACGCAGCGACGCCGCGUGAGGGACGAAGGCCUUCGGGUCGUAAACCUCUCUCAGCAGGGACGAAGCGAAAGUGACGGUACCUGCAGAAGAAGCACCGGCUAACUACGUGCCAGCAGCCGCGGUAAUACGUAGGGUGCAAGCGUUGUCGGGAAUUAUUGGGCGUAAAGAGCUCGUAGGCGGUUUGUCGCGUCUGUCGUGAAAGUCCGGGGCUUAACCCCGGAUCUGCGGUGGGUACGGGCAGACUAGAGUGCAGUAGGGGAGACUGGAAUUCCUGGUG
rnacentral:rRNA from 1 species